CUACAGAGGGUGCGAGCGUUAAUCGGAUUUACUGGGCGUAAAGCGUGCGUAGGCGGCUUUUUAAGUCGGAUGUGAAAUCCCUGAGCUUAACUUAGGAAUUGCAUUCGAUACUGGGAAGCUAGAGUAUGGGAGAGGAUGGUAGAAUUCCAGGUGUAGCGGUGAAAUGCGUAGAGAUCUGGAGGAAUACCGAUGGCGAAGGCAGCCAUCUGGCCUAAUACUGACGCUGAGGUACGAAAGCAUGGGGAGCAAACAGGAUUAGAAACCCUAGUAGUCC
rnacentral:rRNA from 1 species